rnacentral:sRNA from 1 species
GCGGGGAGGUGAGGGGGCUUGGGGGGCCUCGCCUGAGAGAGUGAGGGGCCAGCAGCCUCCCCCGAUGGGUCGUCAGCAACGAGGGUGCCUCAGGAUGUGACGCAGGGCCCCGGGGCCACAGGUGGAAAGGAGGACAGCGGGAUGAUUCCCUUAGCAGGCACCGCCCCUGGGGCUGAGGGGCCGGCGCCUGGGGACUCCCAGGCUGUACGCCCCUACAAGCAGGAGCCCAGCAGCCCCCCGCUGGCGCCUGGCCUGCCCGCCUUCCUGGCGGCCCCGGGCACCACGUCCUGCCCCGAGUGCGGCAAAACGUCCCUGAAACCAGCUCACCUGCUGCGCCACCGGCAGAGCCACUCGGGCGAGAAGCCGCACGCCUGCCCUGAGUGCGGGAAGGCCUUUCGGCGCAAGGAGCACCUGCGGCGCCACCGCGACACGCACCCUGGCAGCCCCGGGCCCGCGCUGCGCCCUCUGCCAGCCCGUGAGAAGCCCCACGCGUGCUGCGAGUGUGGCAAGACCUUCUACUGGCGCGAGCACCUGGUGCGCCACCGCAAGACACACUCGG